rnacentral:rRNA from 1 species
UACAGAGGUCUCGAGCGUUGUUCGGAUUCAUUGGGCGUAAAGGGUGCGUAGGUGGCUAGGUGAGUCGGAUGUGAAAUCCCGGGGCUCAACCCCGGAACUGCAUUCGAUACUGCCUGGCUAGAGUACUGGAGAGGAGAUUGGAAUUUACGGUGUAGCAGUGAAAUGCGUAGAUAUCGUAAGGAAGACCAGUGGCGAAGGCGGAUCUCUGGACAGUUACUGACACUGAGGCACGAAGGCCAGGGGAGCAAACGGG